rnacentral:rRNA from 1 species
AAUACAGAGGGGGCUAGCGUUAUUCGGAAUUAUUGGGCGUAAAGGGCGCGUAGGCGGCCAUGCGUGUCUUCCGUGAAAUCCCUCGGCUCAACCGAGGACGUGCGGAAGAAACUGCAAGGCUCGAGUCCAGAAGAGGGGGGCGGAAUUCCCAGUGUAGCGGUGAAAUGCGUAGAUAUUGGGAGGAACACCGGUGGCGAAGGCGGCCCCCUGGGCUGGUACUGACGCUGAGGCGCGAAAGCGUGGGUAGCAAACGGGA